GCUCUCCUACGGGGCGCAGCAGUGGGGAAUAUUGCACAAUGGGGGAAACCCUGAUGCAGCGACGCCGCAUGAGUGAAGAAGUAUCUCGGUAUGUAAAGCUCUAUCAGCAGGAAAGAUAAUGACGGUACCUGACUAAGAAGCACCGGCUAAAUACGUGCCAGCAGCCGCGGUAAUACGUAUGGUGCAAGCGUUAUCCGGAUUUACUGGGUGUAAAGGGAGCGCAGGCGGUGCGGCAAGACUGAUGUGAAAGCCCGGGGCUCAACCCCGGGACUGCAUUGGAAACUACCGAACUAGAGUGUCGGAGA
rnacentral:rRNA from 1 species